UGAGCAAUCUGCCCUUCUCAUCGGAAUAAGCGUUGGAAACGACGUCUAAUGCCGAAUACGACCUCCUUUCGCAUGAUCGGAGGUGGAAAGCUCCGGCGGAGAAGGAUGAGCUCGCGGCCUAUCAGCUAGUUGGUGUGGGUAAUGGCUCACCAAGGCGACGACGGGUAGCCGGCCUGAGAGGGCGACCGGCCACACUGGGACUGAGAUACGGCCCAGACUCCUAGGAGG
rnacentral:rRNA from 1 species